rnacentral:misc_RNA from 1 species
ACCGUAGGGGAACCUGCGGUUGGAUCACCUCCUUACCUAAAGAUAUUGAUUCGAGUGGCGUGCUCACACAGAUUGUCUGAUGAAAAAGUAACGAGCAAAAGCGUCAUAAAGGCUUGUAGCUCAGGUGGUUAGAGCGCACCCCUGAUAAGGGUGAGGUCGGUGGUUCAAGUCCACUCAGGCCUAAAGUACGGUGUCGUGUCCCCUUCGUCUAGAGGCCUAGGACACCGCCCUUUCACGGCGGUAACAGGGGUUCGAAUCCCCUAGGGGACGCCAAGCUUCCGACCCACCCGGUGAAAGCGGCGGUCUCAAGUAUCUGACGAUACACCAUAUCUUAAAGAUGACUUCCGAGUCAUGUUUAAGAUAUUGCUCUUUAACAAUCUGGAACAAGCUGAAAAUUGAAACAUGACGGCUGAAAUUUAUCCCUCCGUAGACGUAUUGGGAUAAAGAGUAACCUGUCAUAGAGUCUCUCAAAUGUUUGCAACGCGAACGAUGGAAACAUCUUCGGGUUGUGAGGUUAAGUGACUAAGCGUACACGGUGGAUGCCUAGGCAGUCAGAGGCGAUGAAGGGCGUGCUAAUCUGCGAAAAGCGUCGGUAAGGUGAUAUGAACCGUUAUAACCGGCGAUACCCGAAUGGGGAAACCCAGUGUGUUUCGACACACUAUCAUGUCAUGAAUACAUAGUGGCAUGAGGCGAACCGGGG